UAUUACUUUGUGUCUCUUAGUCAACCUGAUCUGGUCUAUGUUCGUGGGGAGGGCUUCAUGGGCAUGUCCACACCAGUGUCCACACCAGUGUCCACACCAGUGUCCACCCCAUGCCAACUCCCCCCCCCGCACUCGCCCAUGCUCGUCGCACAGACCAAAGCAGGCACUCCCGCACCCACUCCCUCAUAUCGAGGGGCACCAUCCAGCACCCCUCCCCCACUAAUGAUCCUUCCGCAGGUUCACCUACGGAAA
rnacentral:misc_RNA from 1 species